rnacentral:rRNA from 1 species
UACCGGCAGCACGAGUGAUGACCGCUAUUAUUGGGCCUAAAGCGUUCGUAGCUGGCCGCGCAAGUCUAUCGGGAAAUCUGCGUGCUUAACGCGCAGGCGUCCGGUGGAAACUGUGUGGCUUGGGACCGGAAGAUCCAGAGGGUACGUCUGGGGUAGGAGUGAAAUCCCGUAAUCCUGGACGGACCGCCGGUGGCGAAAGCGCUCUGGAAGGACGGAUCCGACGGUGAGGGACGAAAGCUCGGGUCACGAACCGGAUUAGAUACCCGGGUAGUCCGAGCUGUAAACGAUGUCUGCUAGGUGUGACACUGGCUACGAGCCAGUGUUGUGCCGUAGGGAAGCCGUGAAGCAGACCGCCUGGGAAGUACGUCCGCAAGGAUGAAACUUAAAGGAAUUGGCGGGGGAGCACGGGGCGGGGGCGGCGGGCCGGGCGCGGGGCGCGGCGGGCG